UGCGGCGAAAGCAAUUGCUGGAGCCAUAAAGGCACCGUAGCGUCGUGUUUUCGAUGCUACCUAUUACUCUACACGUGUAGGCCGAGAUAGUAUGGAGCACGUAGUUUCCUUCCUCCGUGGUAUGGAGGAAGAAAAUGGGCCUCCCGACGCAAACGGAAUAGUCCAUCAACAUCGGCACCAAUCGGACCAUAUCAUCACAGAGCACCGUAUCCGCGCGUGCUUUUAGGUACCCGCUUUGCUGUGUUUCUGGUUGUUUCUGCUGUUUCGAGGACCGAUGCUCACUACCAAGUGUGCAAAAUGACAAACAUGGUGAGGAAGGAAGAAGUUGUGGGAUCCAGUCAUUCCUGAAAUUGUGCGCUGAUAAGAUCCUGUGAACGAGACGCUUCCUGAUCCAUUGGAAUACUUGACGUGCUACCACUCCUACACCCUGAACCCUCCGCAGAUCCUGUAAACGAGAUACUUCCUGAUCCAUUGGAAGCACACGUCCAUAUUUCAGAGCAGUCAUUGGCCAAAGCUGCUCUGAAAGUGAUCGGUCCUGGAAGAGGUGCAGGACUCUAGAUGAACUGAGAUACGUUCCUUGGACUUCUCAUCGGACCAUCCUCGGAAGAUGCUGAAAAGCCGAACUGCAAUAUGUGUUACGAGGACCACAAUGUUGAAAAAAAAAAAAGAGAUUCCUUUUGUGGGAAAAAUGUGGAGUGCACCUAUGCGUCACAAAGUCCAGGAACUGCUUCACCACAUGGCAUGAGCGAUGAACUGGUCUUGGUUUCUUUAUUGUAUCUGAAGAACGGAGGUGUACUGAGCAUUCAUUUUUUCAGACACCAUUCCUGGGUUAUUUAUCUUUGAAAUGUAUGUUCCGAGUUUUAUUUUAUAUUAAUAUUUUUGUAGAUAUCAUGUAUUUAUUAUUGUUUUUAUCAACUGGCAGCAAAAAUGGGGGCUUCCUAGAAUUUUUACAUUUUACCUAAUAAAUUUUUUUGGCAACGUAUAUAUUUGGAAAGAGCAUUUUAUUAUGCACAAUAUGCUAUGCUGCAGUGUCUGCUGGAAUAUUAUUUGUAGUGGUAAAUAAUUUUUUUCCGAGACCUGUAAAGAAUGACCAUUUUCUCGCGGUCACGAAAGAGCUAAUAAUGAUUCGCGAUCCACGAAAUGCACAACUGACGCACACUCAACAUGGGCGCAUGCACACAAAUCAAUUGGCGAAGGCCCCAGCGCAUUUCCAAAACGUUUCUAGCAGCGUGCGGCAGAGAGCGGCACAGGAAAAUGAAAAAGGCGGAUUGUCACGGGACCCAGUAUGUAUUCCUGAAUUAUACACGUACGCAACCGCAAUCCCCUGUCCCAGUAUGAGCACUGAUAUACCUAAUAAGUGUACUGUAGGCUUUCAAAGCUUUUUCGGAUGUGCCUGUGACGAUUUGAGCCUUCAAGGGUUGUAAAAGACAUGCAUUCAUUUUUUUUAACUGCCCAAUUUUUCAGACGUUUUUUCGACCCCUAGGGAGUCCAAAAAAUCGGACGUGUACUGUACAGGUGACCAAGAAGACGCUUCAAAUGGUUAUAGGUGCAAAUGCGAAGCGGAAGGAGGACGAAAACAGAAAAUACUGACACAUUGAGGAAUGAACGGGAAAGGAAGUGGGCUGCCACUUCUUUGAAGUAGCUUGAGCUCAAAAAACAGUGUUUGCUGACACCAAGAUGCAGGUGUCUCUCAUCCAAACCAAAUAAAACUCUUUAAAGCAGUGGAACGCAACACUGAGGCGUUGUGUGCUGGCUGAGAGUAGGUCCGGACAGCUGAGCUUGACUUUCCUGCUGCGGAGAGAGAAUCUUAGUUGUGACAAAGUUUGGGCCUCAAACCAAUGAGUUUGCUAUCAGUUGAUUGAAAGAGCUCAUGUUUGAAAAUAUUUGCCUCUGUAUGCUCUGUAUGCCCCUCUUUUUAUUUGUAUUUGAAGAUGUUCGACACGAUUUACAGUGGGCUUUGCCAUUUUUUUUGAGGAUAUUUGAUUCACUGUGUAUUUUACUAACCCCUUUGUUGUGCUUGUGUUCUGAAUAAGAUAAACACUACUCCUUACUAUUCAAACUAAAUUAAGUCGUGUUUUUUUUUUACUUUUUAACAUGCUUACUAGAGAGUGACAGCAUAGGGGCGACAUUGUGUCAGCAUGUCUUGACAUAAAACAAAGUUCCGUGUCACUCAGGGAAUUUUGCAAAGGCACUCAGGGAAAACCUGUAAAACACAGAUAAUUUGGAAAUGUCAACUGAGUAGACACCCUGGUCAUUGGAAAGGGGAGCACUUACAUGUAUAGGUUUGUAAUGCCAGCAACUAUAUUUUUGACUCAGGCUUAUGCUUAUGCAGCAGACCACUUGUCUUUUUUUUUUGAUAUUGCACUGGGAACAUCUAACAGUCUCUGCUACCACCAUUUUGAUAGUGGUACCUCCAUUUAUACUGCUAUUGUCACUUCUGUUUUGAAGGCUGCAGAGCUGAAUGAAAUUAUAGACAAAGCCACAAUGGGUGACACUUGCGACGAUGUAGACAUCCCUAAAGGCGAAGAAAACUCUGUGAAGGAAAAAUCACCAUUAACCUUAGCAUAGUGCAAAUCUCCAAAUGAAAAUGAUUCAGAUUUCUAGGAAAUAAAGCUGUCAAUGAAAAUUUUGUUCUGGUUUAAGGAUCAAACUCAGGACCAAUGCCUUUGUUGGCCCAAUUGUGACAUUAAAAAAAUUUCUAUACAGAUGACAGUAACAUAUUUUUUGUUGCAAUGUAUUAUGCGCGUAAUUCUUAUGUGACAUAUAUCAAGUAUGUCAGCAAGGUAUUGUAAUUAGGGAGGGAAACCGGUGGAAUGUAUUUACUUUAGUUUGAUGUAUUUAAUGUGUCGUUAAUGCAGUAUGCUGUUUCUACUGACUGUACAACUUCUUGAUUGUUGCCUAUAUGAAAGUGAGAUCAACCCCUACACGUGCAAAAUCAUCCUGUCUCACUGACCUAACUUUGCCGCAAUAAGUUAGAGCAUGUGAUUUGUUGGCACCUUAAACAAUACCUAGAUGAAGACGACAUGCUGUCUGAAGUCCAGCGUUGUUUUAUGGAAAGCUUUUACUGUAACUUAGUUAUUGCCUCAUAUCAUGACUUAGGAGUUAGUAACAGGGAACAAAUGACGGCAGCUUAUUAGAUUUUGCCAAUGCCUUUAAGUUCCUGAACAAGAAGCUCCAUGUAAGCUUUAUGCAGUCGCAAUAGACAGGAAAUCUGUGCAUUCUAUCAGAGCCUAUCUCAAAAACCGUGUUCACUAUGUCAAAGUUGGCAAUCGUAUUUGAGGUGUUUUCUUUCACAUCAGGUGUACCACAGAGGUCAUUCUUGGGACCUCUCCUGUUCCUUAUAGUCAAUGACACAGCAAAUAUGGUUGAGUCUGAUUUGAAAUAAAACUUUUUGUGGAUGUAUUGUACACAGUAGUUGAGUCACAAGCCGAUGAAACUAAGCUCGGCAAUAACCUUGAUAAAAUUUGUCACUGGUGUGAAGUGUGGGAAAUCAGCUUGAACAAUAAGAUGUUCUGUGUUAGGAAGAUAUGCAGCAAGGAAACACCUUCACACUUUCCUUAAUUCAUUGGCAACACUACCUAACGAUGUUUCUACCUAUUAGUACCUCCGGGUAAUUAUAACAGAAAACAUAGGGUGAAACGAGCAUAUUAAAAACAUUUCCAUGAGCGCUCUCAGAAGUUUAUGGUCAUUUGUCACAAUUUCACAGAAGGCCCUAUAUAGGUAAAUGUAUAGGGGCAUUCACUACGCUGUUAGACCUAGCCUUGAAUAUGCAUAAGCUUUGUGGAAUCCACACGCCAAUAGAUAUUGUUAACUUAAAAUGAGUGCAGCAAAUGUAGUUCGGUUCAUCUGCGAAUUCUACAAGAAAACUGAUAGUGUAUCGCAGAUGCUGAUUACUCUCUACCUUGAAUAAUUAGUCGAGACGCGCCAAACAGGCUACAACUCUUGUGUUUAGUAUACAGCAAAGUCCAACAUUAUGAAAUCGUUUUACCUGUGUCCCACUUCUCGCGUGAACAUUCGUCAAUACCACACUAGAAUGACAAAGGACCUACGUGCUGUGAAUAAUGUUCUAGAUAGUAAUAUUUUUCUAAGACAAAGAAUGGAAUGAAUUGCCUAAGAGUGUUGUUGAAAGUAGCUAUGUAGUCAUAUUUGUGAUUUGUAUUGUUUCGCUAUAAUAUUGUUUUCCAAACUUUGCUUUUCGUCCCUUGAUGUUUGUGUUAUUUGUAUAUUCAUUACUCCUUGGACUCAAGUGAGUCGGCAGAAUUUAGAAAUAAAUUUUGGAAGUGUAGCUGUCUACCACAACAGACACUAUAAUGAAACCUGGUUCGAGAUGAAGUGCUGCUGCUCCUGAUUUGGUCAUCAGGCCCAUGAUUGUACUAUUGAAUGUUCGGGUUGUCGCCCUUGACUGCAACAGCAGCUUGCAUUAAUACCAUGCUCCUAGUCUUCUCACUGUACCUUACAGUUAAAAAAUGUUUUAAGCAAGAACAUGUGCAAACUUCAUAAACUUGGCCACUGAGCAAUGAUAAAAACAUAUUUUCCAAAUCAGAAUGGUUGACCUUCUGUGCUCUGAUUUGAUCUGAAAUCGCCGUCAAGACAUUGAAUGAAGAAAAGGCUGUUCUUUACCACUACAAUCUAUGUAAUUCUUCGGCAUAUUGUAAAUACAUAUUUAUUUUUCAGUGAAAAGCA